rnacentral:lncRNA from 1 species
AGAUGAAAUGAAGACAGAGUAUGAUGGCUCAUUUGACUUUUUCCAGACUUAGAAAUGGAGAGCCCCAGAGUCCAAAUCCUUGGACCCGCCUUCUUCCUUAGGGCCAGAAGGAGGAAAUGGAUCCAGCCAGAAGGAUCAGAGAGUGUCAGAAGAUCCGGAAACUUCCUCUGUGUGGCCAAAGUCUCAAAAUAUGCCAUUCUAUUCUGGGGAAUGCCGUGUCUAUUCAGGGCUCCAUCCAUCAAAUAGAAAUGGGACUCUAGGCUACUUUCCCACCUCCCAGGAAUGUGGAUGCCUAGAACACAAUAAUUCUUUUAAUCUUCUAAGAUAUAUAUAUAUAUAUAUAUAUACCAGAUUCCAGGACAG